ensembl:lncRNA
AGGCUCUCCUCUACUGCUUGAUUCUACGCUUGCUUCUGUCCCCAUCCAACUAUCCACUCCUUUGCAUUCUGACUCCUGCCUCAGUUCUUCCUCUCCAGGCACAUUAUUGCUGUACUUCAUGUCAGAUGCCAUUCUGUGAGAGUGCCCCACUGCUGUGAUCUGUCAUAUGGCAACAGAUGUAAUGGAAUAUUGGUAGGAAGGUUCAAGCUCUACUGCCAUACCACCAAUGUCCACCUCUGAUACUGUGGGCUAACAGAAUAAAAUUGGAGGCAUUACAUUUGGAGCAGCCAUUGAGAUUCAAGAACAUUGGGAAAUUUUGAAAGAUCCUUGUUAAAGGAUUGGUUAAAGUGCUUAUGUCCUUCAUCUGCUGUAGAAGAGCCAAGGUGUCCAACCUGAGCUGAACAGUUGACUCUCAAGUCAUCUAAAGAACUUGUGCCUGGAAUCAUCAAUCCAGAGACUGUCUGUGCUAAUCCACAUGGAAGAUGCCUGGAAGAUUGACUACAGGGCUCCCGAGAUCCCUUCCAAAAGGAAUUGCCCUUCUGAGAAGUCUCAUAGGAUCAAGAUGGACAGCAUUUGAAGAUCAAAUUUCAUGGAGGACUUCACAAAUAGUUCUACAAGAUGAAGAGCAGAAGGGAAGCAAUCUUCAUAUGUUGGAAAUGAAGAGAAAAUCAAUUGUCGAUAGGCAGGACAUUUACCAAUUUCACUGAUUUACUACAAUGAAACCUUGAAGAGUGCAAUUACAGGAUCUUUAUUUGGUGGAUGUGGAGGAACCACACUAAGUGAUUUGUCUAAUCAUACAAUUGGAAUGUCUUAUCCUUCAGAUGGCAUUAUGCUGUUUAAUGUUCUUCACACAGCAUCACAGGAAUGAUAGCUUCCAUGGCACAAGAGGAAGUCAGAAAAGGAAGUCAAGAGACCAGCAAGCAUGAUCCAGGACCUGCUUGUGAAACAGGAGAGCAAGUAGAAAAUGCACAGUCAGUGGAAGAGAGCAGAUACCUUGAUACCUCGGGAGAAAUAUAUGGAUGGUGCUAGGCUGUGUAGAGAUGGAGUUAGUGGCCAUUUCAAGAGUUCCACGUCCUUCCUGUACUGGGGGCCUCAGGCCUGGAUGCAGUACUUCAGAUGGGGCCUCACAAGAGCCGAGUAGAGGGGGACAAUCACCUCCCUCUCCCUGCUGCCCACCCCUUUCUUAAUGCAGCCCAGAACACAGUUGGCCUUUCAGGCUGCAAGAGCACACUGCUGGCUCAUGCCCAGCUUCUCAUCCACCAGGACCCCCAAGUCUUUCUCCGCAGGGCUGCUCUCAAGAAGAUCUUCUCCCAGUUUGUAUAAGUACUUGGGAUUGCCCUGACCCAAGUGCAGCACCCUGCAUUUAAGGUAUUUUUUUCACUGUAAAAAUAUGGUCCUUUUCUGUAGUAAUAAGUUGAUCAUAAUCACUGUCUAGCGACUCAAUUUAACGUGGCCUGACCUUUCCUCAUCUUUCAGGAUGUGAUUAGUCUUUUGCUACCUUUUUGUAUUUCACAUAUCCUGCUUAACAAAGAUGAGCAAAUGUUGUCUGUGUUACUGGAUGGCUCCUUUUCCACAUACAGAAAGGCUCAGAGGAAAUGUCAUACCAUCACUCAGCUCCCCUGCCAAAACAAAACAAACAACAAAACUGUGAGAUGUGUUCUGAGAUAUAUGAAAAAGUAUAUCAGGAAAAUCAGCAGAAUAUGCAAGGAAUAUAUUUACUAGAGGGAGAUGAAACUUCUUCAUGCAUUGUAUUUUCACCUUAUUUAGUUCAUCUAUUUUUAAUAUCAAAAAGGAAGACUAAAGAAUUGUGUAAGGUCUCUUUCAUCUGUUCUUGUUCUGCAAAGCACAGAGAUAAGCAUGAAUCGACAAUGAAAUAAGCAUUUCAAAAUAUGUCUUGUUACUUCCAUGUAGUGAAGGAGGCAUACUCACUUAAUCAGAAGUAUUGCAACCACAUGGAUGAAUAGUAACAAUCUGUACUGCAGCAGCUAUGCGACAGAAUCUACUUUCUUUCACAGCAAAGUAGGACUAUAUUGAUUUGUCCACCUCUAAGUCAAAAGACUGUUUCCCAGUAAGACCUUCUCUUUCUUCAGAGUUCAGUGUGGGUCUCAAAAAUGUUCUUGAUUAAAGCCAGAAUCAAACAUGCUAAUACUUCAGGUUGGAAAUAAAUACUUCCUUUUUUUCCUCUCUAAAAGGUGUUAAAAAGACUUUUGCAAAUGCUUGAGCUUAAAGCCUACGCUCACUGCUUAUGUUUGCACCUUCAACCAAAGGACUCUACAAAGUCCAGGAAUUUACAGUAGUUCAAAAAGCAAUUGACAGAGUACAACAUCUUAAAAAGAAAAGGAACUACCUUUGAUUCAAUAAUAGUUGAGCUACAAAUCGCUGGUUGCUGGCUGAGUAAUGUAGGGCAGUACAUCAUUAGGCACUUGUUCUGAUCUCACACAUUUCCCUUGACAUCUGCUAUUAGCCAAAGGAUACAGGCUAGAUAAUGAUUUGUCUGACUUGCAACUGUUGAUCUUAUGUUCUUAUUUUCUGAAGUCUGCUUCCUGAAAGCUAAGCCAUCAGGCAAGUCCCUAGAGGGUAUGCAUGAUAUUUUUGAAAAUAAGCUA